rnacentral:rRNA from 1 species
GUGGGGAAUAUUGGGCAAUGGGCGAAAGCCUGACCCAGCAACGCCGCGUGAGGGAAGAAGGUUUUCGGAUUGUAAACCUCUGUCCUAAAGGACGAAGGAAGUGACGGUACUUUAGGAGGAAGCCCCGGCUAACUACGUGCCAGCAGCCGCGGUAAUACGUAGGGGGCGAGCGUUGUCCGGAAUGACUGGGCGUAAAGGGCGUGUAGGCGGCGGCGUAAGUCCGGAGUGAAAGUCCACAUUUCAAGUGUGGAAUUGCUUUGGAUACUGCGAAGCUUGAGUACAGCAGAGGUAAGCGGAAUUCCCGGUGUAGCGGUGAAAUGCGUAGAGAUCGGGAGGAACACCAGUGGCGAAGGCGGCUUACUGGGCUGAUACUGACGCUGAGGCGCGAAAGCGUGGGGAGCGAACAGG